ACGAAGGGGGCUAGCGUUGUUCGGAUUUACUGGGCGUAAAACGCACGUAGGCGGAUUGGUCAGUUAGGGGUGAAAUCCCGGAGCUCAACUCCGGAACUGCCUUUAAUACUGCCAGUCUAGAGUCCGAGAGAGGUGAGUGGAACUCCUAGUGUAGAGGGGGAAUUCGUAGAUAUUAGGAAGAAAACCAGUGGCGAAGGCGGCUCACUGGCUAGGGACUGACGCU
rnacentral:rRNA from 1 species